ensembl:snRNA U6 U6 spliceosomal RNA
GUGCCCACUUCGGCAGCAUGUAUGCCAUAUUUAGAACAUUGCAGAGAGGAUUAGCAUGCCCCCCCAAGGAUGACACAAAUUCAUGAGGUGAUCCCCAUCUUU